GACGAACGCUGGCGGCGUGCCUAAUACAUGCAAGUCGAACGCUUCUUUCCUCCCGAGUGCUUGCACUCAAUUGGGAAGAGGAGUGGCGGACGGGUGAGUAACACGUGGGUAACCUACCCAUCAGAGGGGGAUGACACUUGGAAACAGGUGCUAAUACCGCAUAACAGUUUAUGCCGCAUGGCAUAAGAGUGAAAGGCGCUUUCGGGUGUCGCUGAUGGAUGGACCCGCGGUGCAUUAGCUAGUUGGUGAGGUAACGGCUCACCAAGGCCACGAUGCAUAGCCGACCUGAGAGGGUGAUCGGCCACACUGGGACUGAGACACGGCCCAGACUCCUACGGGAGGCAGCAGUAGGGAAUCUUCGGCAAUGGACGAAAGUCUGACCGAGCAACGCCGCGUGAGUGAAGAAGGUUUUCGGAUCGUAAAACUCUGUUGUUAGAGAAGAACAAGGACGUUAGUAACUGAACGUCCCCUGACGGUAUCUAACCAGAAAGCCACGGCUAACUACGUG
rnacentral:rRNA from 1 species